CAGCCGCCGCGGUAAUACGGAGGGUGCAAGCGUUAUCCGGAUUUAUUGGGUUUAAAGGGUCCGUAGGCGGAUCUGUAAGUCAGUGGUGAAAUCUCACAGCUUAACUGUGAAACUGCCAUUGAUACUGCAGGUCUUGAGUAAAUUUGAAGUGGCUGGAAUAAGUAGUGUAGCGGUGAAAUGCAUAGAUAUUACUUAGAACACCAAUUGCGAAGGCAGGUCACUAAGAUUUAACUGACGCUGAUGGACGAAAGCGUGGGGAGCGAACAGGAUUAGAGACCCCCGUAGUCCCGUCUCUUAUACA
rnacentral:rRNA from 1 species